rfam:Triticum aestivum genome assembly, contig: Triticum_aestivum_CS42_TGACv1_scaffold_528500_6DL
CAUAUACUCCCUCCGUUCGGAAUUACUUGUCGCGAAAAUGGAUGUAUCUAGAACUAAAAUACGUCUAAAUAUAUCCAUUUCCGCGACAAGUAAUUCUGAACGGAGGGAGUAGAAG